AUGCAAUUGGUGGUAAGCCUUUGAUUGGUCAUCUCAGGCAACGUUCAAAUGCAUGAAAUAAAGGUAAACAAUUGCCAAACAUCUAAAAUUUUCUAACCUGUUGAAAAUUCUUAGGCCCAGCUUAUUAGACAUCGUGUAUAGAUGUAGAGACGAAGUAUUUUUAACAUAUACAGUACAUAUAUUCGAUUCUGACAGUUUUAAUCUUAAACGAGUUUCUGUGUUAUUUAAUUAUAAAUAAUUAUUGAUAGGACUUAUAAGAUAAUUUUUAAAAAAAUUAAUAAAUUUAUUAUAAAUUAUACUUUUUAUUGAAUGAUAGUUUAAUUUAGUGCAAGAUCAUUUUUUUAAUAUUAAAUAGAAUACUUAUAGUAAGACAGCCUAGCUUAAAAUAUUUCUCCAACCCUAGCUUAUUCAAAAAGAGAGACUCCAAAGACUCUUUCUCUCUCUACUGAUAUGAGUUAGACAUGCAAAUUAUUAAAGUCUGUGAUGGGUUGGGAUGAUAAAACAAGGAAUGGGUCCAACUGUCUAUUAAAUUUUGAAUAAGUUAGUGAGCCAGUUUAAUGCCUUUGAUAGUGCUACAUAUAUAAUAUAUAAUUCAGCAAAUGCAAGUUGAUUGGUUGAGACUAUGAGUUGCCCUAUAAAAUAGCUACCCUUUUAUUUUUUUGGUGAGUCACACCUACUAUAACUAUAUAUGCAUAAUAUAUGUACAGUGUCUCGUACAUACACGAGGGAGAAGUGUGUGAGCUGAAAAGAUAUCGAAUGAUAUAAUAUGACUCCGCUUCAAAGCCAAUCAUUUUAUACAAGACUUUCAUCGAUCCCGUGCCAUACGCCCAUCACAUGCAUCACAUUCUCAAACCCAGUAGCCCUGAUUCCAUUUCCCAACGAUUUUUUGCAUAUAUAUAACAAAGCUGGCUGUCUUGUUUCUUUUGCCACCCCUAGGAUUAAAUAAAAUUGAUUUUGAAGUAACAUAAUUCAUAUUCAAUUUUUAAUUUUAUUUUAAAAGUAAGUCAGUAGAAACACUGGA
rnacentral:lncRNA from 1 species